rnacentral:rRNA from 1 species
CGCGUAGGCGGUUCGCUUAAGUCGGAUGUGAAAACUCUGGGCUCAACCCAGAGCCUGCAUCCGAAACUGGCGGGCUGGAGUUCUGGAGGGGGUAGCGGAAUUCCUGGUGUAGCGGUGAAAUGCGUAGAUAUCAGGAGGAACACCGGUGGCGAAGGCGGCUACCUGGACAGAAACUGACGCUGAGGCGCGAAAGCUAGGGGAGCGAACAGGAUUACGAUACCCUGGUAGUCCUAGCCCUAAACGAUGGAUACUUGGUGUGACUGGGAUUGAAUCCAGUCGUGCCGAAGCUAACGCAUUAAGUAUCCCGCCUGGGGAGUACGGUCGCAAGGCUAGAA